UCCACGCCCUAAACGUUGGACACUAGGUGUGGGGGGUAUCGACCCCCUCCGUGCCGCAGCUAACGCGUUAAGUGUCCCGCCUGGGAAGUACGGCCGCAAGGCUAAAACUCAAAGGAAUUGACGGGGGCCCGCACAAGCGGCGGAGCGUGUGGUUUAAUUCGAUGCAACGCGAAGAACCUUACCAGGGUUUGACAUGCCGGAAGUAGAAUCCCGAAAGGGGGACGACCCGUAAAG
rnacentral:rRNA from 1 species